AGAGUUUGAUCCUGGCUCAGAACGAACGCUGGCGGCAGGCUUAACACAUGCAAGUCGAGCGCCCCGCAAGGGGAGCGGCAGACGGGUGAGUAACGCGUGGGAAUCUGCCCUGCAGUGGGGGAUAACCCGGGGAAACUCGGGCUAAUACCGCAUACGCCCUACGGGGGAAAGGGGGCCGCAAGGCUCUCGUUGCAGGAUGAGCCCACGUCCGAUUAGCUAGUUGGUGGGGUAAGGGCCCACCAAGGCGACGAUCGGUAGCUGGUCUGAGAGGAUGACCAGCCACACUGGGACUGAGACACGGCCCAGACUCCUACGGGAGGCAGCAGUGGGGAAUAUUGGACAAUGGGCGCAAGCCUGAUCCAGCAAUGCCGCGUGUGUGAAGAAGGCCUGCGGGUUGUAAAGCACUUUCAGUGGGGAAGAAAAGCGUUUGGUGAAUACCCAAGCGUCUUGACGUUACUCACAGAAGAAGCACCGGCUAACUCCGUGCCAGCAGCCGCGGUAAUA
rnacentral:rRNA from 1 species